UGGAAAUACCCUGCUUGUGUUGAAUGAAUGGUUGACAAAAUAAAAUAGAGUGAAAUCGGCGUGCGAAAUGGCGCGCGCGGGCGUCCGGACAAACGAACGAACGGACGCUUUCCAUUUCGCGGCGGCCGGGUGUAUUUUGGCUCCAGCGCAGCACCUUCGGAUGUGCUGGCCGCCGGCGCAAUUUGGCUGCUGGGCGAGCGAGCUCGGCCGCUGGAAUUAGCCCCCGGCGGCGCUGAAUAAUGAUAUUUUUAAAAAUGGGUCCGGCUGCACCUUGGCACCCGGCACUUUCAGUUGGCGUUUGUCGCUCUCGCCUGCCGCUCGUGUCCCUGCCGCGCUCGCCGCCGCCGCCGCAUUUUCACUCAGGUCGCCCGCCCGCCCGCCCGCCAGCAUGAACGAGACGUUCAACAUCUUCACCACCUACUUCAUCCUCAUGUUCCUGCUCUUCCUCCUCUGGCUCCUCUACUCGGGCAUUUUCUAGACCCGCCGCCCGCGUAUGAUGGAGGAGGCGGUCGAGGAGGAGGCACCUGUCCGCGAGGCGUGACGGAUUUGGAGGCAGCAGACCGAGAACGUAGGCAAACCGCGCGCACCGAGUGAGUGAGCGAGUGAGAGAUCGAGCAGCCGCCAACCGACAACCAACCGACCCCCGACCGCCUCCUAAUUAGAUAAUACUGCGGUCGCGCUACCAACUUCGCCCGGGCACCCCCUGAAACAAACCACCCUCCUCGGACGCACACCCUUUCCUGCUUCAUUAGAGAGCCCCUUUCCCUCCCUUACCCCAUUGUCAGCCAACGCUCGGGCCUCUUGUAAAUUCACACGCAUUUUUAUAUAAUUAUCUUGUUAUACAAACAAACGAAGAACGCAAAACGCAAGACGGAUUUAUGUACACAACCAUAUGUAUAUCUAACCUUUGUUUCUAUAGAGCGAGAGAAAAUAAAUAAAUAAAUAUGCAACCAUGCAAUUGAGAAGAGUGAUUUGAGUUUGGUCGAAUUUUAACAUCGAUGAUUGCAGAGUUGCAAUUUUUUGUGUUUAGUUUUAAA